rnacentral:rRNA from 1 species
AGUGAACGCUGGCGGUAGGCCUAACACAUGCAAGUCGAACGGAAGCACAUUACGAGCUUGCUCUUACGGGGGGGGAGUGGCGGACGGGUGAGGAAAACAUCGGAACCUACUUUUUGGUGGGGGAUAAGGAGGGAAAACUUACCCCAAUACCCCAUACGCCCAACGGGGGAAAGCAGGGGACCUUCGGACCUUGCGGGAUUGAAGGACCGGUUGUCGUAUUAGUUGGUUGGCGGGGUAAAGCCCCACCAAGGCGACGAUCCGUAGCUGGUCUGGGGGGAUGACCGGCCGCACUGGAACUGAGCCCCGUUCCAGACUCCUACGGGGGGCGGCGGUGGGAACUUUUGGACAAUGGGGGCAAGCCUGCUCCAGCCAUGCCGCGUGGGUGAAGAAGGCCUUCGGGUUGUAAAGCCCUUUUGUUGGGAAAGAAAGGCAGCAGGUUAAUACCCCGCUGUUCUGACGGUACCCAAAGAAUAGGCCCCGGCUAACUUCGU